UACGUAGGGUGCGAGCGUUGUCCGGAAUUAUUGGGCGUAAAGAGCUCGUAGGCGGUGUGUCACGUCGGCCGUGAAAACCUGCAGCUUAACUGUGGGCGUGCGGUCGAUACGGGCAUCACUGGAGUUCGGCAGGGGAGACUGGAAUUCCUGGUGUAGCGGUGGAAUGCGCAGAUAUCAGGAGGAACACCGGUGGCGAAGGCGGGUCUCUGGGGCAGUAACUGACGCUGAGGAGCGAAAAGCGUGGGGGAGCGAACAGG
rnacentral:rRNA from 1 species